rnacentral:rRNA from 1 species
CCUACGGGUGGCAGCAGUGGGGAAUAUUGCACAAUGGGCGCAAGCCUGAUGCAGCCAUGCCGCGUGUGUGAAGAAGGCCUUCGGGUCGUAAAGCACUUUCAGCGGGGAGGAAGGCGUUAAGGUUAAUAACCUUGGCGAUUGACGUUACCCGCAGAAGAAGCACCGGCUAACUCCGUGCCAGCAGCCGCGGUAAUACGGAGGGUGCAAGCGUUAAUCGGAAUUACUGGGCGUAAAGCGCACGCAGGCGGUCUGUCAAGUCGGAUGUGAAAUCCCCGGGCUCAACCUGGGAACUGCAUUCGAAACUGGCAGGCUAGAGUCUUGUAGAGGGGGGUAGAAUUCCAGGUGUAGCGGUGAAAUGCGUAGAGAUCUGGAGGAAUACCGGUGGCGAAGGCGGCCCCCUGGACAAAGACUGACGCUCAGGUGCGAAAGCGUGGGGAGCAAACAGGAUUAGAUACCCCUGUAGUC